rnacentral:rRNA from 1 species
CUGGUUGAUCCUGCCAGUAGUGUAUGCUUCUCCUAAAGACUAAGCCAUGCAUGCCUUCGAAUAAGAGGAAGCAAUUCUCUCUGAAUCUGCGAACGGCUCCGCAAACCAGUUGUAAACAAUAGCAAGCAAGCCCGGGUCUGGUCUUCACGGGUCAGGCUCGGGUAACACGGAUAACCCUGGUAAUUCUGAGGCUAAUACGAGAACGCAACCCCUGGUCGACCGGGCAACUGGAAGGUUGGGAAGCGUGUACUAGAUCGCGAGGAAGACGCCGGGAAAGGAUGCACGCUUGGACCGCGCUAAACAAGGAUCAGGUUACCGACCUCACGGAAGGUGGCCUGGCCCUAGCGGCUCUUGCAAUGUGCUUCUGACCUAUCAACUAGAUGGCAGCGUAACGGACAUGCUAUGGUUACAACGGGUACAGAGGAUUAGGGUUCGAUCCUGGAGAGUGGGCCUGAGAGAUUGCUCAUACUUCUAAGGAAGGCAGCAGGCGCGCAACGUUCCCCUUGGGCAAUGCCCGAGGGCGUUAGGGGACAUAUGAAUGCCUGCCCUAUGGGUGGGCAAUUCAAAUGGGUUUGUUGUAAACAGCCCUUCGAGUAACAAUUAGAGGACAAGUCUGGUGCCAGCACCCGCGGUAAUUCCAGCUCUAAUAGCAUACGUUAAAGUUGUUGCAGUUAAAACGCUCGUAGUCGGCUUCAGACCGUCAGAAGCCUAAGCUGGGAAUCCGGAUCCGUGUCCUUCACUGGGCUGGCCGGAGGACUGGCGAGGGUAGGCGGCGGUCAAGUGUGCCCCGGUUCCUCUCUCCGGAGUGACAGGGUCAGGCUUUCGUUCCCUCACGGGGGCGGGGGUCUGGCUCGGACCGAGGUACCACUUACCAUGAUCAAACUGAGGUGAUCAAAGCAGGUCAUUCGACCUUGCACAGCACAGCAUGGCAUAAGCCAAACCGGCUCGGGGCUCCCUCGCGGGUCCCGGGUCGGUAGAAGCGAAAGGGGUGUUCGAGGGUGACCGAAUUGCCGGGCGAGUGGUGAAAUACGUUGACCCUGGCAAGUCGACCCAAGGCGAAAGCAGUCAUCAAGGGCACACCCGUUGAUCAAGAGCGAAAGUUAAGGGUUCGAAGACGAUUUGAAGUAUCUGGUCGUCAAGUGGUACCGAAAGGUGACACUAGUCGGGAUGGUAGGUCGGGUGCCUAGUAGGCGAAGGGGGGACCCUAGCCGAAUAGCAUCCAUCAGGUGCCUAGUAGGCGAUGGGGGGACCCUAGCCGAAUAGCAUCGAUCAGUGCCUAGUAGGCGAAGGGGGGACCCUAGCCGAAUAGCAUUGGCCCUAUCUGAAUGGCAACAUCAUCAAAUUGCGGGGACAUCCUAAAGCUGUCACUACCAACCACGCGUGGAAAGCACGUAAAAAUAGUCGGCGCUAAUACCUCUUUGAGUGGGGGAGUCGGACUCGUGGGGCCGGGUUAAUGACCUCGGAUACGGUAACAACGUGGCAGAUAGAGGGGACGUGGGGCUCACUCAGGUGGGUCCCAUCGAACCGAAAGUGGGUAAUCCGCAGCCAAGUCCGUUUAAGUAGCAAAAGCUAGGGGCUAGUACCUCACUGGGGACAGUGGGGGAAUACCUCUUUGGAUCAGUCCGUCGACCCCCACCUUCGUGUGGUAACAUGCGGUCCCGGGCCUGGUUCAUUGCUAACACGGAUGCAGUUCACAGACUAAAAGGUGGUGGGUGAUAGGGGCUCUCCCUCUUCCGGGAUGGGGAGACCCUGUUGCUUAAGAUAUAGUCGAAUCCCCUGGGGAAACCUAGGGGCGGAAGGCAGAUACCGUCGUAGUCUUAACUAUAAAUGAUACUGACCAGGGAUAGGAUACUGUCCAUCUCGACUCUUCCCGGACCUUAGAGAAAUCACAGUCUUUGAGUUCUGGGGGGAGUAUGGUCGCAAGGCUGAAACUUAAAGGAAUUGACGGAAGGGCACACAAAGAGUGGAACCUGCGGCUUAAUUUGACUCAACACGGGAAAACUCACCAGGUCCAGAUACACGGAUGAAAGACAAGCUGACAGACUUUUCUCAAUGAUGUAAGUGGUGGUGCAUGGUCGUUCUUAGUUCGUGGAGUGAUUUGUCUGGUCUAUUCCGAUAACGAGCGAGACCCCGACGUUCCUAAUAGGGGUAGCAGCCCGGCUCGGUCGCAAGACCCUGCUAGCCGCUACCUCAUACAAGCUUCUUAGACGUAUCAGAGCCGAUAAGGUUCUUGAAAUGGGUUAAUAACAGGUCAGUCAUGCCCUUAGAUGUUCUGGGCCGCACGCGCGUUACAAUGGCAUGUAAAGAAAGUGCCUACAAGGGCGUAUCCGCGGCUCUACGGGUCGCGGUAACCCKUAGUCCCUGCCUUGACUGGGACAGACUAUUGUAAUUAUUGGUCUCAAACGAGGAAUUUUUAGUAGUCGCAGGUCAUYAGCCUGCGACGAAUGCGUCCCUGCCCUGAAACGAAGCGAGGUGUGCCUAGCUGUGACGAUCGAACCCCGGUAGCUCCGGCUCGGUCUGAAUGCGAAGCCAAGACGAUGCCAGCAGUCCGCCUAGUCCCUAUCGGUAGCUCCGAGAAGGCUAGGGUCCGAAGCAGGCUAGUGCCUUGAGUCGCUAGGGGCUUAAAGGGGGAGGGAAACCUCACUCCUAGUCCAGGUACGUGUUGGUGACCGGGGGUAGCUACCCCGGGAUCCGGCAAACGGCCUCACCCGAAUGGACGGGUAUAAGGGGUCCGAGGGAGGAUAGCAUCCUCCCCCGGGCUUCGAGGGCUACACUGACAAAGUGCGGGAAAGGCUCGGUAAAAGGAAGGCACACCAAGCGGGGCUCGAAAGGGGUCACGUGGCCGGGGAUAACGACCCUGGGUAUGGUAACAGCUGUCUUCCUAUGGGUCAACUCGCAGCCAAGUCCCUUAAACCGGUUGGAGCCUUCGGGCUCGCCCCGGAGCAGGGAUGCAGUCACAGACCAAACGUCAGUGGGUGGGUAACACCGCUUAAGAGAUGGUCGGGUUGGGUUUACAGUGGGGUACUGGGGUGUUCGCAUCCCGGGGACCUUAGUACCGGUGGAUCGAUGGCAGGGGGGUUCUCCUCCAGCUUCGUGAAGCUACGGGCUUGCAAGGCUUCGGUCUUGUCACUGGGUUGGCUGUGGUAGGGUCCAUCGAGGUAAGCGAUAGGGCCCUACCAGUGGUACGGGUCCAUCGACUAGGCGAUAGGGCCCUACCAGGGAGGCUGUUGGUACGGGUCCAUCGAGGUAAGCGAUAGGGCCCUACCAUGGUACGGGUCCAUCGAGUAAGCGAUAGGGCUCUACCAGGGUUGCCGGUAGGCGGGGCCAGGGUCUCACCGAUAGGGGGGGCCAGGGUCUCACCGAUAGGCGGGGCCAGGGUCUCACCGAUAGGCGGGGCCAGGGUCUCACCGAUAGGCGGGGCCAGGGUCUCACCGAUAGGCGGGGCCAGGGUCUCACCGAUAGGCGGGGCCAGGGUCUCACCGACAGGGGGGGCCAGGGUCUCACCGAUAGGCGGGGCCAGGGUCUCACCGAUAGGCGGGGCCAGGGUCUCACCGAUAGGCGGGGCCAGGGUCUCACCGAUAGGCGGGGCCAGGGUCUCACCGAUAGGUGGGGUCCACGGUAGGUGUAGCAUAGGUGUAGCAUAGGCACUAGAGACCUUGCCGAUAAGGCAAGGUCAGGUUGGGUUAAAGCCAAUAGGCUCAGUCGGUAGAUAAGCAGCAGCAAGACAGUAUCGUUGUACACACCGCCCGUCGCUGCUACCGAUUGGGUUUUGCGGUUACGAGUUCGGAGGUCGUGGCUCCCCGUUUGUUCACGCAGGCGGUAACCAUAGCCAAAGUCCUAAUUACCGCACGGCCUAGAGGAAGCAGAAGUCGUAACAAGGUAAUCGUAGGUGAACCUGCGUUUGGAUCAUUUA